rnacentral:rRNA from 1 species
GACGAACCACCCAAACGUUAUUCGGAAUUACUGGGCUUAAAGGGUGCGUAGGCGGCGCGGAAAGUUGGAUGUGAAAUCCCUCGGCUCAACCGAGGAACUGCGUUCAAAACUACCGUGCUCGAGGAAGACAGAGGUAAGCGGAACUUCGGGUGGAGCGGUGAAAUGCGUUGAUAUCCGAAGGAACACCGGUGGCGAAAGCGGCUUACUGGGUCUUUUCUGACGCUGAUGCACGAAAGCUAGGGGAGCAAACGGG